AUAUUCUGGGAUUCUCAUUUUAAUUUUCACCAACCAACUGGGAUCAUCAGCCUUUGGACCAGCCAGCAACCAGGGAGCCAGUGAGCAGGCUACAUCCCUUGAGAGCCAGUACUGUAUUUUAUUUACUAUAACACUGGUCAUGACAUCCCGGCAGUUGCUGUGACUGUGAUGAAGAUCCUCGAGGUCACGGAACUGAAAUCAAGGCCAGGAACCAGAGCUUAAGGUUUGAAAACCGGAGUUGCUGAGGGGAUCCUGAGAGACACCUCCCCCCUACACUGCAGCAACAUGUCUACCGAAUUUAGACUGAUCUGUACCUAAUUCCCCCCACUCCCCUUCUGAGCAACCAGAUGGGAACGGGUGACACCG